UACGUAGGGUGCGAGCGUUGUCCGGAAUUAUUGGGCGUAAAGAGCUUGUAGGCGGUUUGUCGCGUCUGCCGUGAAAGUCCGGGGCUCAACCCCGGACUUGCGGUGGGUACGGGCAGACUAGAGUGUGGUAGGGGAGACUGGAAUUCCUGGUGUAGCGGUGAAAUGCGCAGAUAUCAGGAGGAACACCGAUGGCGAAGGCAGGUCUCUGGGCCACUACUGACGCUGAGAAGCGAAAGCGUGGGGAGCGAACAGG
rnacentral:rRNA from 1 species